rnacentral:tRNA from 1 species
GCGGGAGUUGCCAAGCCAGGUCAAAGAGACCCUCUGUUGGGUCUUGGAAGCGCAGGCCUGAGGCGCCUGUCCCGUAGGGGUUCGUGGGUUCGAAUCCCACCUCCCGCACCA